GAUGAACGCUGGCGGCGUGCCUAAUACAUGCAAGUCGAGCGAACAGACGAGGAGCUUGCUCCUCUGACGUUAGCGGCGGACGGGUGAGUAACACGUGGAUAACCUACCUAUAAGACUGGGAUAACUUCGGGAAACCGGAGCUAAUACCGGAUAAUAUAUUGAACCGCAUGGUUCAAUAGUGAAAGACGGUGUUGCGGUCACUUAUAGAUGGAUCCGCGCCGCAUUAGCUAGUUGGGAAGGUAACGGCUUACCAAGGCAACGAUGCGUAGCCGACCUGAGAGGCUGAUCGGCCACACUGGAACUGAGCCACGGUCCAGACUCCUACGGGAGGCAGCAGUAGGGAAUCUUCCGCAAUGGGCGAAAGCCUGACGGAGCAACGCCGCGUGAGUGAUGAAGGUCUUCGGAUCGUAAAACUCUGUUAUUAGGGAAGAACAAAUGUGUAAGUAACUAUGCACGUCUUGACGGUACCUAAUCAGAAAGCCACGGCUAACUACGUG
rnacentral:rRNA from 1 species